CUUUACUGUAGCUUUACAUUGGACUUUGAACAGAUCUGUGUAGGAUAGGUGGGAGGCUUUGAAGCGGUGCCGCUAGGUGUCGUGGAGCCAACGUUGAAAUACCACCCUGGUGUGUUUGAGGUUCUAACCUUGUCCCGUUAUCCGGGAUGGGGACAGUGUAUGGUGGGCAGUUUGACUGGGGCGGUCUCCUCCCAAAGCGUAACGGAGGAGUUCGAAGGUACGCUAGGCACGGUCGGAAAUCGUGCUGAUAGUGCAUUGGCAUAAGCGUGCUUGACUGCGAGACUGACAAGUCGAGCAGGUACGAAAGUAGGACAAAGUGAUCCGGUGGUUCUGUAUGGAAGGGCCAUCGCUCAACGGAUAAAAGGUA
rnacentral:rRNA from 1 species